rnacentral:lncRNA from 10 species
GAGAAUGGAGAUGCAGUAGCCCUCACCGGGCUCUGAACUAGGGGAGUGUGGAUUCUCAAAGAAUUCAUGAAAAUGUUCACAAUGGAGUCUUCUUAUGCAUCUGUUUUCCCUAGAGCAUUCAAUUCAAGCUCAUGAAAUAUCAGGUUGUACAAGAAGCAUGGCACCAGCAUCUGCAUCUGAUGAGGACCUCAGGGUGCUUCCACUUGUGGCGGAAGAAGGGGAGCCAGCAUGUGCAGAUACCACACGGCGAGAGAUGAAGGAAGAGAAAGAGGAGGAAGGUUCCAGGCUCUUUUUAACAAUCAGACCUCACAGGAACUAAUAGUGUGAGAAGAUGUUUAACAUAUUCUAAUAAGAUAUUCCUAAUAAACUGCCAUGAGAUAA